GAUCAUGGCUCAGGAUGAACGCUAGCUACAGGCUUAACACAUGCAAGUCGAGGGGCAGCGGGAUUGAAGCUUGCUUCAAUUGCCGGCGACCGGCGCACGGGUGAGUAACGUGUAUCCAACCUUCCGUACACUCAGGGGUAGCCUUUCGAAAGAAAGAUUAAUACCUGAUGGUAUCUUAAGCACACAUGUAAUUAAGAUUAAAGAUUUAUCGGUGUACGAUAGGGAUGCGUUCCAUUAGGUAG
rnacentral:rRNA from 1 species